rnacentral:lncRNA from 10 species
CCGAAGUCUCGCCGCCCGCCGGCUGUUUUCUGGCGGAGGGUGCGCCCCGGAGGGCGGCGAGCGCGGGUGGAGGCUGCGGCCAGGCGCGGGUGGAGGCGUCGCCGGGGUCGGGCUAGCAGGCUCUGGGAUCGGGCUUGUGGGACACCCCGAAACAUGUGUGUAAAGAAUCCGUCUCUCCGGCAUGUGUGUAAAGAAUCCGUCUCUCCGGCAUAUAAAGACGCAGAGCCUCAGAGAAGUUAAACGAUUGAUCCUAUGUCAGGGGGUAGAGUCAAGACUCAUACCUAUGCCUUUUAACUUCAAGAUUGGACGACUGAUUAUUGGACAGAAUGGCAUCUUGUCGACACCUGCGGUCUCCUGCAUUAUCAGGAAGAUCAAGGCAGCUGGUGGAAUCAUUCUAACAGCCAGCCACUGCCCUGGAGGACCAGGGGGAGAGUUUGGAGUGAAGUUUAAUGUUGCCAAUGGAGGGCAGACUUCUUGGAGGAAGUGAAAUUUGAACUGCGAUGUGAAGAAUGAGCAGGAGUUAGUGAGGUGAAGAAGAGAGAAGGAGUGUUGCAAACACAGGUCAGUCUGUGCAAAGGCCCUGAGACACAAGGAGCCUAGAACCACGGCUCGAAGACAACCAUCUGGCUGGGGCAUGGCUCGUCUUACAGAUCACAUUAAGGAACAAAUAAUUAUGUUAAGAGUUAUGGGCUGCCAUUAAGGAUUUGGAUAAGAGAGUCUUACAAUCACAUCUGUGUUUUCUAAAGGCCUGACACUGAUUGGUACAUGGAGUACAGCCUGAAGGGAACAAGACUUGUUAGAAAGGAAGCUAUUGACUGGGUGUGGUGGCUCGUGCCUAUAAUCCCAGCACUUUGGGAGGCUGAGGUGGGCAGAUUACUUGAGGCCAGGAGUUCGAGAUCAGCCUGGCCAACACGGUGAAACCCCGUCUCUACUAAAAAUACAAAAAUUAGCAGGUUGUGGUGGUGAGCACCUAUAAUCCCAGCUGCUUGGGAGGCUGAGGCAGGACAAUUGCUUGAACCUGGGAGGCUGAGGUUG